UACGUAGGCAGCGAGCGUUGUUCGGAGUUACUGGGCGUAAAGCGUGCGUAGGCGGCGGUCCAUGUCUGGUGUGAAAUCUCCCGGCUUAACUGGGAGGGUGCGCCGGAAACGGGGCUGCUGGAGUGCGGGAGAGGUAAGCGGAAUUCCUGGUGUAGCGGUGAAAUGCGCAGAUAUCAGGAAGAACACCCGUGGCGAAGGCGGCUCUCUGGGACGGUACUGACGCUGAGACGCGAAAGCGUGGGGAGCGAACAGG
rnacentral:rRNA from 1 species